CAAAAGAUAGUUUAAAAUAAAACACUGGCCCUGGAUCCCAGCAAUAGACUUAUAAGUCCUUCUUUUGA
rnacentral:tRNA from 1 species